rnacentral:rRNA from 1 species
GACGAACGCUGGCGGCGUGCUUAACACAUGCAAGUCGAACGGAAAGGCCCUGCUUUUGUGGGGUGCUCGAGUGGCGAACGGGUGAGUAACACGUGAGUAACCUGCCCUUGACUUUGGGAUAACUUCAGGAAACUGGGGCUAAUACCGGAUAGGAGCUCCUGCUGCAUGGUGGGGGUUGGAAAGUUUCGGCGGUUGGGGAUGGACUCGCGGCUUAUCAGCUUGUUGGUGGGGUAGUGGCUUACCAAGGCUUUGACGGGUAGCCGGCCUGAGAGGGUGACCGGCCACAUUGGGACUGAGAUACGGCCCAGACUCCUACGGGAGGCAGCAGUGGGGAAUAUUGCACAAUGGGCGGAAGCCUGAUGCAGCAACGCCGCGUGCGGGAUGACGGCCUUCGGGUUGUAAACCGCUUUCGCCUGUGACGAAGCGUGAGUGACGGUAAUGGGUAAAGAAGCACCGGCUAACUACGUGCCAGCAGCCGCGGUGAUACGUAGGGUGCGAGCGUUGUCCGGAUUUAUUGGGCGUAAAGGGCUCGUAGGUGGUUGAUCGCGUCGGAAGUGUAAUCUUGGGGCUUAACCCUGAGCGUGCUUUCGAUACGGGUUGACUUGAGGAAGGUAGGGGAGAAUGGAAUUCCUGGUGGAGCGGUGGAAUGCGCAGAUAUCAGGAGGAACACCAGUGGCGAAGGCGGUUCUCUGGGCCUUUCCUGACGCUGAGGAGCGAAAGCGUGGGGAGCGAACAGGCUUAGAUACCCUGGUAGUCCACGCUGUAAACGGUGGGUACUAGGUGUGGGGUCCAUUCCACGGGUUCCGUGCCGUAGCUAACGCUUUAAGUACCCCGCCUGGGGAGUACGGCCGCAAGGCUAAAACUCAAAGGAAUUGACGGGGCCCCGCACAAGCGGCGGAGCAUGCGGAUUAAUUCGAUGCAACGCGUAGAACCUUACCUGGGUUUGACAUGGAUCGGGAGCGCUCAGAGAUGGGUGUGCCUCUUUUGGGGUCGGUUCACAGGUGGUGCAUGGCUGUCGUCAGCUCGUGUCGUGAGACGUUGGGUUAAGUCCCGCAACGAGCGCAACCCUUGUUCACUGUUGCCAGCACGUUAUGGUGGGGACUCAGUGGAGACCGCCGGGGUCAACUCGGAGGAAGGUGGGGAUGACGUCAAGUCAUCAUGCCCCUUAUGUCCAGGGCUUCACGCAUGCUACAAUGGCUGGUACAGAGAGUGGCGAGCCUGUGAGGGUGAGCGAAUCUCGGAAAGCCGGUCUCAGUUCGGAUUGGGGUCUGCAACUCGACCUCAUGAAGUCGGAGUCGCUAGUAAUCGCAGAUCAGCAACGCUGCGGUGAAUACGUUCCUGGG